rnacentral:lncRNA from 1 species
UAAAAGCACUUCUCAUUUAUUUGAGACAAUAAAGCAGUUUAUUUUUUGUUUGGCUGACUCAGAUUUCAUUGAUAUUUCUUACAUGAUAACAGUGACAAAUGAAGAAACAACCUGAAAGCAUUUCGCAGCGCAACUGGUAUGAAAAUCUCAUCGUUGCAGGGCUAUACCUUCUAUUUACUUAGGGCUUUGUAUCAGAAACUUAAAUUGCCAAUGUUUUACCACACUGUUUCAAACAACAUGGCAACCGUCCCAAAGCCUUGGAGAAAAUACUUUAAAUCUCAGAAGACAUUUUUGAUGUUGCUCAGAACCUGUACAGAACUUCUCAUUAACCACUUUGAAACUAUUUAAUCGAUAAAGCUUUAAGGUAGGCACUUUAAUAUUGGGAACAGGCAGCAAGGGUCGAGUUGCCAAUAAACAGCGUACAGGACACACGGGACCCUGUCACUUUCUAAAAAUGGGUGCAGAAGCAAAUGACAGCUGUUGGAGGGCAGGCAGGAACAGAGGAACACACGCAGGGUCUGUCCCUUAGUGCUGCCUGCACAGGAGCUAUGGGCCACAGAGCACAGUGUGAAUCCACCAGGUAAGGAACGCAAGGAUUUCCUCUACUACAAAGAGUGAGUUGGCAGUUUAAAGUCUAUACACUUAGAAGAUAGAUAUCAUUAAUAGAAAUGGUGCUGACAGAGGAAGUGAGAAGGGAAAAAAAUGAGCAAAGGAAAUACAGCCAACGGUUUCUAUUCAGGAGGCUGCAAAUCUGCCUUCCUCUGCGUUCACAUAAGGCUACAUGUGGCUUUUGGUUUAUGGAUUCUAUACACUAUUUAAGCUCCACCUCGUGAAAGCACUUAAACAUACCUGGCAGUAUUUACAUCCUCCUGAAAUUACUGAGACUGUAGCAUCUGUGAUUUUUAGGUGCUCACUUGUCAAAUUGGUACCUAGAAUUACACUUAGGAAACAUGCUGAUGUGUGUGAAGCUCCUCUGCGCCCACAUGACUACAAGCUAAGGCAUCCCACACAUUUGCAGUUCAAAAGCCGGGCUGUUCACAGCUGGAAAUGGGCCUGGGCAGCUCACCUUCGUGCUGCACGCCAUUUCACAUGCUUGCUGCUUACGGCUGAGCUUCACCUUGAACCACAUGAGCGGUGCUGCAUUCUUACUUCUUGAAACGCACUGUAACAGAGACGCCAAAGUUUUACCCUCAGCUCAGCGUCGUAUUUUGUCGUGCAGGAAGAUCGAAGUCUCUCACAUUUCUCUGCCCUGGCCCCACCGGCACCCUCUGUGUCAGGCUCCAUCCCUGCAGCCCACAAGCCUCUCAGCAUCCUCCCCGAGCCAACAGGACAGAGCACUUGGCAACUCCCUAACCAGUCACCCCUAGGAGGUUAAGCACGCGUCGCGGAUAACUCGUGCUUCGCAGCCUGCUCAUCCACACCGCGACUCCGUGUGAGAGAAACACCACCACGGCAGCGCGCACCCGCGGCAGCCAAGCUGACCCGGAGGCGUAAGGCAGCGCGUAGCCGCCGCGGCGCGAGAAGGGUGUGAGAACAAAGUUCGGAGCGCCGCGAUCACAGCGCAGCACCGCACAGCACGCUGAGUGCUGCCGGAACUCCGCGCGCGCCGCUGGCGGUGAAACAAACCCCCUCACAGCAGUUUCCCCCGCGAGGAGCAUAUCCGCACGCGGCUGCCGAGGGCCUCCCGGGAAGGACGAAGCGCAGCUGACGCGCUCCCGAGCAGCUGGGAGCCGGCACGGGCUCCGCG